rnacentral:rRNA from 1 species
UACGUAGGGUGCAAGCGUUAAUCGGAAUUACUGGGCGUAAAGCGUGCGCAGGCGGUUUUGUAAGUUUGUCGUGAAAUCCCCCGGGCUCAACCUGGGAAUGGCGAUGAAGACUGCAAGGCUAGAGUUUGGCAGAGGGGGGGUAGAAUUCCACGUGUAGCAGUGAAAUGCGUAGAUAUGUGGAGGAACACCGAUGGCGAAGGCAGCCCCCCUGGGUCAAAACUGACGCUCAUGACACGAAAGCGUGGGGGAGCAAACAGG